rnacentral:rRNA from 1 species
AAUAACCAAUUGUUCGCCAAAUAACUACGAGUACAAACUUAAAAUUUAAAAGACUUGACGGUACUUCACAACACUCUAGAGGAGCCUGUCUAAUAACCGAUACCCCACGAUUAACCCAACCCACCCUAGCCUGCCAGUCUAUAUACCGCCGUCGCCAGCAUACCUUGUGAAAGAAACUAAGUAAACUCAACAGGUUACCCCCUAAUACGACAGGUCGAGGUGUAACAAAUGAGUGGGCAAAAGAUGGGCUACAUUUUCUAAAACAGAAAACACGAACAAACUAUGAAACUAGAAACUGAAGGCGGAUUUAGCAGUAUAUUAAGAACAAAAUACUUAAUUGAAACCCAUGCAAUGAAGUGCGUACACA